rnacentral:rRNA from 1 species
GACGAACGCUGGCGGCGUGCUUAACACAUGCAAGUCGAACGGAAAGGCCCUGCUUCUGUGGGGUGCUCGAGUGGCGAACGGGUGAGUAACACGUGAGUAACCUGCCCUUGACUUUGGGAUAACUUCAGGAAACUGGGGCUAAUACCGGAUAGGAGCUCCUGCUGCAUGGUGGGGGUUGGAAAGUUUCGGCGGUUGGGGAUGGACUCGCGGCUUAUCAGCUUGUUGGUGGGGUAGUGGCUUACCAAGGCUUUGACGGGUAGCCGGCCUGAGAGGGUGACCGGCCACAUUGGGACUGAGAUACGGCCCAGACUCCUACGGGAGGCAGCAGUGGGGAAUAUUGCACAAUGGGCGGAAGCCUGAUGCAGCAACGCCGCGUGCGGGAUGACGGCCUUCGGGUUGUAAACCGCUUUCGCCUGUGACGAAGCGUGAGUGACGGUAAUGGGUAAAGGAGCACCGGCUAACUACGUG